rnacentral:rRNA from 1 species
AUUGAACGCUGGCGGCAGGCCUAACACAUGCAAGUCGAACGGUAACAGGAUGAAGCUUGCCUCUUUGCUGACGAGUGGCGGGCGUGUGAGUAAUGUCUGGGAAACUGCCUGUUGGAGGGGGAUAACUACUGGGAACGGUAGCUCAUACCGCAUAACGUCCCAAGACCAAAGAGGGGGAGCUUUUGGCCUCUUGCCAUCGGAUGUGCCCAGAUGGGAUUUUCGAGUAGGUGGGGUAACGGCUCACCUAGGCGACGAUCCCUAGCGGGUCUGAGAGGAUGAACAGCCACACUGGAACUGAGACACGGUCCAGACUCCUACGGGAGGCAGCAGUGGGGAAUAUUGCACAAUGGGCGCAAGCCUGAUGCAGCCAUGCCGCGUGUAUGAAGAAGGCCUUCGGGUUGUAAAGUACUUUCGGCGGGGAGGAAGGGAGUCACGUUAAUACCUUCGCUUAUUGACGGUACCCGGAGAAGAAGCACCGGCUAACUCCGUG